CAUAAGCGUUAGGGUUUUCCUCGAGAAACCUAAGAAUCGCCGCCAUUGGGGACCUUUAUAUACAAACCACACAUGACUUUGACAGACAUCAAGCUCUUAUCAAGAUGAGGUAAUACUGCAACAAUAUGAUGGAGUAAUCUUUGUGAUUAUUAGUAUUUAAGUCUCUGAUGAUCUUAAUCGUUUU